rnacentral:rRNA from 1 species
AGCGAACGCUGGCGGCAGGCUUAACACAUGCAAGUCGAGCGGGCAUAGCAAUAUGUCAGCGGCAGACGGGUGAGUAACGCGUGGGAACGUACCUUUUGGUUCGGAACAACACAGGGAAACUUGUGCUAAUACCGGAUAAGCCCUUACGGGGAAAGAUUUAUCGCCGAAAGAUCGGCCCGCGUCUGAUUAGCUAGUUGGUGAGGUAAUGGCUCACCAAGGCGACGAUCAGUAGCUGGUCUGAGAGGAUGAUCAGCCACAUUGGGACUGAGACACGGCCCAAACUCCUACGGGAGGCAGCAGUGGGGAAUAUUGGACAAUGGGCGCAAGCCUGAUCCAGCCAUGCCGCGUGAGUGAUGAAGGCCCUAGGGUUGUAAAGCUCUUUUGUGCGGGAAGAUAAUGACGGUACCGCAAGAAUAAGCCCCGGCUAACUUCGUGCCAGCAGCCGCCGUAACAC